rnacentral:rRNA from 1 species
UGUAGUCUGCAACUCGACUACAUGAAGCUGGAAUCGCUAGUAAUCGCGAAUCAGAAUGUCGCGGUGAAUACGUUCCCGGGUCUUGUACACACCGCCCGUCACACCAUGGGAGUCAGUAACGCCCGAAGCCGGUGACCCAACCUAUUCUGGAGGGAGCCGUCGAAGGCGGGACGGAUGACUGGGGUGAAGUCGUAACAAGGUACC